AUGCUGCCAAAGACCAGAGGCAGGAUUUAAAUGCCGAUUUUCUGCCUCCAGAGCAGGAACAGCUAUUCCCACUCUGCCUCUCAACUGAGGAAUUUAGCGAGUGGGCAAGGACUUGUCAUCUCUUUGGAGUUAGGCCUGCAGAGUGAUAUGUAGCUAGUGGGCCGGUCGCCAGGCCCAGCUAGGAUCUGGGUUCUGGCACCGGGUCUGGCACACACCAGGGCAGGCUCUCCUCUCUGCCUGGAACCUUAUGUCCACCUCUAGCUCUCUCCCUCCCAUGACCACGGGAGGAUGGGUGUGGGGGGACUUCUAAAGGGCGAGUCUGCCAAAGGGUGCCAGCGUGGAAGAGAACAGAUCUGACAGGCCCAGACUGGCCUCAUGUGCAUCAUUCAAGCUCCUGAAGCCAGCUCUGCCUGAAGCCAGCCAACAGGACAAUUUUUCACUCCGCUGAGUUCAUCAAUUCCGAUGUUGCUGAAGACAGUUACAGGAAGGAUUUCGGUCACCUGAAAUAGAAAGGAAGCGAGCAGAUCCAGAAUGUCAGCUCCAAGAGGGCAGAGAAUUGUGUCUGUUUUCUUUUCUGCUGUAUCCCCAGGGCUGAGAAUGCUGCCGGGCAUACAGAGCAAGAGUUGCAUGAUCUACCAAAGGAGCCAACCAGGAGCCCCUACAUUAUAUGUCUUUUACCGCAAUUUGGAAACAUUUUAGGAGUUUUGGAAGAGCAAAGGGACUAAGGCCAGACAACGUUAGAGCCACCUCGAGGUCC